UUCUGGCUUUGCGUUAGGGAUUGAAGCGGCAUCCUUUUUAAAUUAAACUAAAAAUUAAUUUGGUUUUAGCUUUAAGUAGUUGGUAGAUAACCAUGUUGUUGGAUGCUUACAAUAAUGUUUUAAAAAGAUAAAGCGGAAAGCCCGACCCUUG
rnacentral:sRNA from 1 species